UGGGGAAUAUUGCACAAUGGGCGAAAGCCUGAUGCAGCAACGCCGCGUGAGUGAUGAAGGCCUUCGGGUUGUAAAGCUCUGUCUUUUGGGACGAUAAUGACGGUACCAAGGGAGGAAGCCACGGCUAACUACGUGCCAGCAGCCGCGGUAAUACGUAGGUGGCAAGCGUUGUCCGGAAUUACUGGGCGUAAAGAAUGCGUAGGUGGAUAUGCAAGUCAGAUGUGAAAUACCCGGGCUCAACUUGGGUGCUGCAUUUGAAACUAUAUAUCUAGAGUGCAGGAGAGGAAAGCGGAAUUCCUAGUGUAGCGGUGAAAUGCGUAGAGAUUAGGAAGAACACCAGUGGCGAAGGCGGCUUUCUGAACUGUAACUGACACUGAGGCAUGAAAGCGUGGGGAGCAAACA
rnacentral:rRNA from 1 species